UAGUACAUUAUGUGAAACUAAGUUACUUUUAUAUUAUGUGAUAUUAUUGUUUUAGAUAUAAAUUAGAUGAUACAAAGAUGUAAGGAUUAUUGAAUGGUAUACACUUCAUUUUAUCUAGUAUAAAACUAAUAGAAAUUCAAUUCGUUAAUAACAUUUUGGUUUUUAAUAUAAAUUUUUCUAAGUGAGAAAAGUCAUAAGGUUAUUACAAUAUAUACUAAAUCGAAUGGACUGGCAUAUGUAAGAUACAUAUUGUUGUUAUUAAAUAUAAAAUA
rnacentral:lncRNA from 1 species